AUGGACAGGGAUGAGAGGAGGGCACCUGUGGUGCAGUGAAUGACUGGGAACAGCCCUUCUAGCCAUAGUUUCUGUAACUCCCACCGAAUGACUGUGUC
rnacentral:miRNA from 1 species